rnacentral:misc_RNA from 2 species
CAACCCCUUAAGCCCCUGUUGCUUAGCGUUGGGAGCCUACGGCCCGCCGUAGCUCCUCAAAGUUAGUGGCGGAGCCGGCCCGCACCCCAGGCGUAGUAGUUCAGUCAGCUCGCCCGCGGUCGGACCAGUCCCCUGCCGUAAAACACCCCAUUCUCGCAA